rnacentral:rRNA from 1 species
AAAUGAAUAGACGGGGGCCCGCACAAGCGGAGGAGCAUGUGGCUUAAUUCGAUGCAACGCGAAGAACCUUACCUGGGUUUGACAUGCAGCUGCACGUCCCGUGAAAGCGGGAUUCCUUCGAGGGUGCUGCACAGGUGCUGCAUGGCUGUCGUCAGUUCGUGCCGUGAGGUGUUUGGUUAAGUCCAGCAACGAACGCAACCCCUGUGACUAGUUGCUACCGGGUAAUGCCGGGCACUCUAGUCAGACUGCUAGUUUACGCUAGAGGAAGGUGGGGACGACGUCAAGUCAGUAUGGCCCUUACGCCCAGGGCUGCACACGUGCUACAAUGGUCGGUACAAUAGGAAGCAAGACCGCGAGGUGGAGCAAAUCCCCAGAGCCGACCCCAGUUCAGAUUGCAGUCUGCAACUCGACUGCAUGAAGUCGGAUUCGCUAGUAACGGCGUAUCAGCUACGACGCCGUGAAUACGUUCCCGGGCCUUGUACACACCGCCCGU